rnacentral:rRNA from 1 species
UACGUAGGUGGCAAGCGUUGUUCGGAAUUACUGGGCGUAAAGAGCGCGCAGGCGGUCGAUCAAGUCGCGUGUGAAAGCCCCCGGCUCAACUGGGGAGGGUCACGCGAUACUGAUCGACUCGAAGGCAGGAGAGGGUAGUGGAAUUCCCGGUGUAGUGGUGAAAUGCGUAGAUAUCGGGAGGAACACCAGUGGCGAAGGCGACUACCUGGCCUGUUCUUGACGCUGAGGCGCGAAAGCUAGGGGAGCAAACGGG